GAUGAACGCUGGCGGCGUGCCUAAUACAUGCAAGUCGAGCGAACAGACGAGGAGCUUGCUCCUCUGACGUUAGCGGCGGACGGGUGAGUAACACGUGGAUAAUCUACCUAUAAGACUGGGAUAACUUCGGGAAACCGGAGCAAAUACCGGAUAAUAUAUUGAACCGCAUGGUUCAAUAGUGAAAGACGGUUUUGCUGUAACUUAUAGAUGGAUCCGCGCCGCAUUGGCUAGUUGGUAAGGUAACGGCUUACCAAGGCAACGAUGCGUAGCCGACCUGAGAGGGUGAUAGGCCACACUGGAACGGAGACACGGUCCAGACUCCUACGGGAGGCAGCAGUAGGGAAUCUUCCGCAGUGGGCGAAAGCCUGACGGAGCAACGCCGCGUGAGUGAUGAAGGUCUUCGGAUCGUAAAACUCUGUUAUUAGUGAAGAACAAAUGUGUAAGUAACUAUGCACGUCUUGACGGUACCUAAUCAGAAAGCCACGGCUAACUACGUG
rnacentral:rRNA from 1 species